GUUAGACAUGGUGGCACGUACCUGUAAUCCCAGCUACUUGGAGACUGAGGCAGGAAGAUUGCAAAUUUAAGAUCUGUUUGAACAAUUUUAGGCCUUUU
rnacentral:sRNA from 1 species